rnacentral:rRNA from 1 species
GACAUCCCGAUGCUAUUUCUAGAGAUAGAAAGUUACUUCGGUACAUCGGUGACAGGUGGUGCAUGGUUGUCGUCAGCUCGUGUCGUGAGAUGUUGGGUUAAGUCCCGCAACGAGCGCAACCCCUGUGGUUAGUUGCCAGCAAGUAGCGUUGGGCACUCUAGCCAGACUGCCGGUGAUAAAUCGGAGGAAGUGGGGACGACGUCAAAUCAUCAUGCCCUUUAUGUCCUGGGCUACACACGUACUACAAUGGCCGUUACAACGGGAAGCGAAGGAGCAAUCCGGAGCAAAUCCCUUAAAGGCGGUCCCAGUUCAGAUUGUGGGCUGAAACUCGCCCACAUGAAGGCGGAAUUGCUAGUAAUUGCAGAUCAGCAUGGCGCGGUGAAUACGUUCCCGGGCCUU